CCUUAGAUGUUCUGGGCCGCACGCGCGCUACACUGACAGAGCCAACGAGUUCAUCACCUUUGCCGGAAGGUCUGGGUAAUCUUGUUAAACUCUGUCGUGCUGGGGAUAGAGCAUUGCAAUUAUUGCUCUUCAACGAGGAAUUCCUAGUAAGCGCAAGUCAUCAGCUUGCGUUGAUUACGUCCCUGCCCUUUGUACACACCGCCCGUCGCUACUACCGAUUGAAUGGCUCAGUGAGGCCUUCGGAGUGCCCGAUGGAGGUCGGCAACGACCACCGCCAGGUGCAAAGUUGGUCAAACUUGGUCAUUUAGAGGAAGUAAAAGUCGUAACAAGGUUUCCGUAGGUGAACCUGCGGAAGGAUCAUUACAAAUGACUGGGAUGUCCUAUCGGACCCCCAAGCAAACACAUCUAUGUGUACUCUGCCAUGUUGCUUCCCCAGACCAGUGGCCACUGCUGCCAGCCCAGCCCCUAAUGGGUUCCUGGGUUGAGGUGUCUGGGGAAGGGCUCAAUAUCAAACUUUUCAACCCACUAGUCGUCUGAGAAGGCCAUGUGCCGCAAUAUUUAAACAAGUUAAAACUUUCAACAACGGAUCUCUUGGCUCUCGCAUCGAUGAAGAACGCAGCGAAAUGCGAUAAGUAAUGUGAAUUGCAGAAUUCAGUGAAUCAUCGAAUCUUUGAACGCACAUUGCGCCCUUUGGUAUUCCUUAGGGCAUGCCUGUUCGAGCGUCACUAAAAACCGACUCACAUAUCGUGUGGUAUUGGUAGAAGUGGAUAGUACUAACACUACUUUGUCUUACUCUGCUGAAAUGAAUAGGCCAGAAAAGUGGACCAUGGUAAUAGAUUCCAGGAGUGUUUUAAAAUGCUAUACUAGUCUUAUCCAAGUCAUAUUCUGAGCCACUGGACCCCCCAUUUAGUCCAAACAACAGUGGUUGACCUCGGAUCAGGUAGGGAUACCCGCUGAACUUAAGCAUAUCAAUAAGCGGAGGAAAAGAAACCAACAGGGAUUGCCUUAGUAACGGCGAGUGAAGCGGCAAAAGCUCAAAUUUGAAAUCUGGUGCCUCUGGUGCCCGAGUUGUACUUUGGAGAGGCAUCUUCUGGAGGGACCCAGCCUAUGUGCCUUGGAACAGGACGUCAUAGAGGGUGAGAAUCCCGUCCUUGGCUGGAUGUUCCCUCCUGUAUGUAGUGUCUUCAACGAGUCGAGUUGUUUGGGAAUGCAGCUCAAAAUGGGUGGUAAAUUUCAUCUAAAGCUAAAUAUUGGCGAGAGACCGAUAGCGCACAAGUAGAGUGAUCGAAAGAUGAAAAGCACUUUGAAAAUAGAGUCAAACAGUACGUGAAAUUGUUGAAAGGGAAGCGCUUGAGACCAGAGUCAGCCUUUGGCAAACAACUGUCCUUCUGGGUGGUGCACUUGUCAUUGGUUGGGCCAGCAUCGGUUGGGACGGCAGGAUAAAGGCCCAGGGAAUGUGACUCCUUUAUGGAGUGUUAUAGCCCCAGGUGGCAUGCUGUCAGCCCCGACCGUGGACCGCGCCUCGGCUCGGAUGCUGGCUUAAUGGUCUUCAGCGAC
rnacentral:rRNA from 1 species